UUGAAAUAAGAGUUUUUAAUUAUUAAAGUGUGAAUUUUUAAGGUUUUUAAUGAUUAAAUCAUAAUAGAAUGACUAUAUAUUAUUAAAGCUAUUAUUUGUAUGAUUCUAAGAAUGUUAAUUAUGUUUUGGAGUAGUUUGAAAUUAGUUAUAUUGCUGAAAAUUUAAAGUACGAUGUUUGCAAAGAGUUUUCAACGAAUUUCAAUCACUAAUUCAAUAAUUAUGAUGCUAGGAAAUCAAAGGUUUAAGUUUUGAUAUUGGGGAAUGUUCUAAAUAUGUUUGGGAUGCAUUUAGAAUGCUUUGUUAUGGUUGCCAAUGAUUAGGAAUUGAUUUGGGUACGUUUCUUGAUUAUUUUAGGCGGAGAAUUCUUUGUGGGUGACUUUUGAAUUCGUUAAAGUGGCCUAUCAGUUUGUUUACACAAGUCUCUAAGGAUCAAUAAGCAUUGUCCAUCUGCAGGUUUGAAGAUGUUGCAUCAUUGGGAUCGGGAAUAGAGAGCUUGUAUUUAGUUUUGAUUUGCUAAGUUAACUUGGGUUUGUUAAUUGGGACUUUAAACUUGUCGUACUAUUUAUAUUUCCUUAUUUUCGUUGGUUGAUUUUUGGGGACUAAAUCUGUAAUCGAUUAUUUAUAAACCUAAAGUUAGUUUUAUGUUUUCCGCUGCAAAAUUCUGAAUAAGCCGUUACGUUUUCACA